UAGCUAACACUAUAUAUAUAUAUAUAUAUAUUUUUUUUUUUUUUUUAUAUAUAUAUUUUUUUUUUAAUUGGGGUAGCCCCCAAAAUAUUGGGACAUAUAAAAAAAAGACAACUCUGUUCCGCAGAGUAUCUGUUGAGAUUAUAGUUGCACAGGCACUUUGUUGACUCUAGAGAACCUCGGGCCAAUGGCACAUCCCCGGGGCAGUGACUUUGCAUGCGGAUGUCAUCCAUAUCAGCUUUCGAUGCCAGUUUCUGCGUCUACCAUGGUGACCACGGGUAACAGGGAAUCAGGGUUCCAUUCUGUACAAGGACCCUGAAAAAUGGCUACCACAUGCAAGGAAGGCAGCAGGUGCGCAAAUGACCCACUCCCGACGCAGAAAGGUAGUGA